CUCCCACACCAUUCAAAGGAUGUUCAUCCCAACUUGAAUAGCUAAAAACUCUAUAGAGAGUCUCUGUCAUCCAGGUCAUGGUUGUCCCAAAGGUGCUUUUUUCAGGAGGCAACUGGACUUUCUUGUUUUUUUUCUUUUGAAGAUGUUUU